GGAGAAGUAUCGAAGAGGUCAUAACGAGCCGCACUCGAAAUGCGGUUGUCCAUUUUUGGGCACGUGGGUUCGAAUCCCACCUUCUCCGCCA
rnacentral:tRNA from 1 species